rnacentral:misc_RNA from 1 species
GAUGAAGAACGUAGCGAAAUGCGAUACGUAAUGUGAAUUGCAGAUUUCAGUGAAUCAUCGAAUCUUUGAACGCACAUUGCGCCCGCUAGUAUUCUGGCGGGCAUGCCUGUUCGAGCGUCAUUUCAACCAUCAAGCCCUAGGCUUGCGUUGGAGCCCUGCGGCUGCCGCAGACUCCCAAAUCCAGUGGCGGGCUCGUCGUCGUACCGAGUGCAGUAAACAUCCUCGCUCAGGGAACGUGACGGGUUCUUGCCGUGAAACCCCCCACAUAUCAAGGUUGACCUCGGAUCAGGUAGGAAUACCCGCUGAACUUAAGCAUAUCAAUAAGGGAGGA